GCGAAACCGUGUGAUCUACCCAUGGGCAGGUUGAAGCUGUGGUAACACACAGUGGAGGACCGAACCGGUUGACGUUGAAAAGUCUUCGGAUGACCUGUGGGUAGGGGUGAAAGGCCAAUCAAGCUCGGAAAUAGCUCGUACUCCCCGAAAUGCAUUUAGGUGCAGCGUUAAUCAAGUUUUAUAGAGGUAGAGCUACUGAUUGGAUGCGGGGGCUUCACCGCCUACCAAUUCCUGACAAACUCCGAAUGCUAUAUAAUGUUUCAGGGCAGUGAGGGCAUGGGUGCUAAGGUCCUUGUCCGAGAGGGAAAGAACCCAGACCAUCUGCUAAGGUCCCCAAAUGUAUGCUAAGUUGAUCAAACGUGGUCUGAUUGCUUUGACAGCUAGGAUGUUGGCUUGGAAGCAGCCAUUCAUUUAAAGAGUGCGUAACAGCUCACUAGUCGAGUGAUCGUGCGUGGAUAAUAAUCGGGCAUAAGUAUAUUACCGAAGCUGUGGAUUUUAUGGUAGGGGAGCAUUCUGUUCUGCGUUGAAGCAGUACUGCGAGGUAUUGUGGAGUGUACAGAAAAGCAAAUGUAGGCAUAAGUAACGAUAAAGCGGGCGAGAAACCCGCUCACCAAUAGACUAAGGUUUCCUCAGCUAUGCUAAUCAGCUGAGGGUUAGUCGGGACCUAACGCGAACCCGAAAGGGGUAGUGGAUGGACAAGCAGUUAAUAUUCUGCUACCUGCUCACGUUAAAAGUGACGGAGGCGAGAAGUUAGUGCGCACUGACGGAAUAGUGCGUUGAAGGGAACAGUAAUGUCCUGAUAGUACAGUAAGGCUACGGCCGCGCUGAUAAUCUAGCAAAUCGACUUCCAAGAAAACCGAGUGAAGCAGCCCGUACCGUAAACCGACACAGGUAGUCAAGGAGAGAAUCCUGAGGUGCUCGAGUGAUUCAUGGUUAAGGAACUAGGCAAAAUAGCCCUGUAACUUCGGGAGAAGGGGCUCCAACUUCGGUUGGACGCAGUGAAAAGACCCAGGCGACUGUUUAUCAAAAACACAUGGCUGUGCGAACGUGAAAGCGGAUGUAUACGGCCUGACACCUGCCCGGUGCUGGAAGGUUAAGAGGAGGGUUUAGCUUUACGCGAAGAUCUGAAUUGAAGCCCCAGUAAACGGCGGCCGUAACUAUAACGGUCCUAAGGUAGCGAAAUUCCUUGUCGGGUAAGUUCCGACCUGCACGAAUGGCGUAACGA
rnacentral:rRNA from 1 species